GAUGAACGCUAGCGACAGGCUUAACACAUGCAAGUCGAGGGGCAGCGGGGCGGUCAGCUUGCUGAACGCCGCCGGCGACCGGCGCACGGGUGAGUAACACGUAUGCAACCUGCCCGCCACAGGGGAAUAACCGGGAGAAAUCCCGACUAAUACCGCGUAGACCUGAUUGAGGCAUCUCGAUUGGGGGAAAGCUUCGGCGGUGGCGGAUGGGCAUGCGGCGCAUUAGCUAGUUGGCGGGGUAACGGCCCACCAAGGCGACGAUGCGUAGGGGUUCUGAGAGGAAGGUCCCCCACAUUGGUACUGAGACACGGACCAAACUCCUACGGGAGGCAGCAGUGAGGAAUAUUGGUCAAUGGGCGGAAGCCUGAACCAGCCAAGUCGCGUGAGGGAAGACGGUCCUACGGAUUGUAAACCUCUUUUGUCGGGGGAGUAACGUGCGGGACGCGUCCCGUAUUGAGAGUACCCGAAGAAAAAGCAAUCGGCUAACUCCGUG
rnacentral:rRNA from 1 species